rnacentral:rRNA from 1 species
GACGAACGCUGGCGGCGUGCUUAACACAUGCAAGUCGAACGGUAAGGCCUUCGGGUACACGAGUGGCGAACGGGUGAGUAACACGUGGGUGAUCUGCCCCCUACUCUGGGAUAAGCCUGGGAAACUGGGUCUAAUACCGGAUAUGACCUCCUUCUGCUUGGUUGGUGGUGGAAAGUUUUUUCGGUAGGGGAUGAGCCCGCGGCCUAUCAGCUUGUUGGUGGGGUAAUGGCCUACCAAGGCGACGACGGGUAGCCGGCCUGAGAGGGCGACCGGCUACACUGGGACGGAGACACGGCCCGGACUCCUACGGGAGGCAGCAGUGGGGAAUAUUGCACAAUGGGCGAAAGCCUGAUGCAGCGACGCCGCGUGGGGGAUGACGGCCUUCGGGUUGUAAACCCCUUUCAGUCGGGACGAAGCGAGAGUGACGGUACCUGCAGAAGAAGGACCGGCCAACUACGUGCCAGCCGCCGCAGUAAAAC